rnacentral:rRNA from 1 species
ACAGCAGCCGCCACGGUAAUACGAGGGGGGCAAGCGUUGUUCGGAAUUAUUGGGCGUAAAGGGUGCGUAGGCGGUUUGACAAGUCAUCUGUGAAAUCUAUGGGCUCAACCCAUAGUCUGCAGGCGAAACUGUCGGGCUUGAGUAUUGGAGAGGUGAGUGGAAUUUCCGGUGUAGCGGUGAAAUGCGUAGAUAUCGGAAGGAACACCUGUGGCGAAAGCGGCUCACUGGACAAUAACUGACGCUGAUGCACGAAAGCUAGGGGAGCAAACAGGAUUAGAUACCCGGGUAGUCCCUGUCUCUUAUAC